UGGGGAAUAUUGGACAAUGGGCGAAAGCCUGAUCCAGCAACGCCGCGUGAGGGAUGACGGCCUUCGGGUUGUAAACCUCUUUCAGCGGGGACGAAGCGAAAGUGACGGUACCCGCAGAAGAAGGACCGGCCAACUACGUGCCAGCAGCCGCGGUAAUACGUAGGGUCCGAGCAUUGUCCGGAAUUAUUGGGCGUAAAGGGCUCGUAGGCGGUUUGUCGCGUCGGGAGUGAAAACUCAGGGCUCAACCCUGAGCGUGCUUCCGAUACGGGCAGACUAGAGGUAUGCAGGGGAGAACGGAAUUCCUGGUGUAGCGGUGGAAUGCGCAGAUAUCAGGAGGAACACCGGUGGCGAAGGCGGUUCUCUGGGCAUUACCUGACGCUGAGGAGCGAAAGCAUGGGGAGCGAACA
rnacentral:rRNA from 1 species